AAACCGUGAGGUGGAGCGAAUCACAAAACUACGGUCUCAGUUCAGAUUGCAGGCUGCAACUCGCCUGCAUGAAGUUGGAAUUGCUAGUAAUCGCGGAUCAGCAAGCCGCGGUGAAUACGUUCCCGGGCCUUGUACACACGCCCGUCACACCAUGAGAGUCGGGAACACCCGAAGUCCGUAGUCUAACCGCAAGGGGGGCGCGGCCGAAGGUGGGUCCGGUAAUUGGGGUGAAGUCGUAACAAGGUAAC
rnacentral:rRNA from 1 species